AUGGGUCGCUCGCCUCGACGACGCCGGGCGAUGGCGGCGGCGCCUAGCGAUCCGGGGAAAAACCCUAGGGGGGUCCUCCCCGGCGACCGCAUCUUCGCCUCGCUGGCCCCCUACAUCACCUUCGCCGACCACCUCCGCCUCCGCAUCGUCUGCCGCGCGUGGCGCUUCUUCUCCCGCCGCCUCGGCCGCCGCCCGCCGCCCUUCCCGUGGCUCAUGCUCCCGGAGCCGGCCUCCGCGUCGCAGUCCGCGCCCGCGCCGGCCAACGUGCGCCGCCAGUUCUACGACAUCCCCGGAGGGCGGCCCUACGCGUACGAUGUCCCGGGGGAGGGCUACCACCGCUGCGUCGCCUCCUCCGCCUGCGGGUGGCUCGUGUUCGUCUCCGUGGACGCGCCCCGCCGCCUCGUCCUCGCGAACCCCGUCGCCGGCGCGCGGCUGGUUCUGUCGUGGCCGUUCAAGGAGAAGAACGCCGAAGGGCGAUUCCACGCCGCGCUGACGUCCUCGCCGGCUGACCGCCGGGCGUGCUUCCUCGUCCUCGCCACCGACAGGCUCGUCGCCUACUGCCGCCCCGGCCAGCAGGACCAGGGGUGGCUCACCCUGCGCGCCCCGGGGUUCCGCUACGACCCGGCCGCCAGCGACAUCGUCACCGUCGGCGCCAUGGUGUACCUGGUCGACGGCAGGAGGAAGGUCUGGCGCGCGGACCUCGUGGACCCGGAGCCCAAGGUGGAGCGCCGGAACACGGCGUGCCAGCUCCCGUUCGGUGAGAGCAGCAUGCGCCACUACCUCGUGGAGUCGCUCCGGCACGUCCACCUCGUGCUCGCGGACGAGCACAACGCGCGCGUCGCGCUCUUCAGGCUGGACUGGGACAAGAAGAUGUGGAUGCAGGACCGCGUGCGCGGGGACCGUGUCCUGCUUUUGGGCCGCGGGUGCUCGGCUUCUGUGCCGGCGGCGUCGGGCCGGCCGCCUGGCAUGCUUUUGUUCGCGCACCAGCCGUCGUUGAGUCUCGUUGACGUCGGCGGUUGUGGCGCUGGGCUCGCGUGGUUCUGGGCGGAAUCGUGGGUGGAUGACGGCUCGGAUGAUAUGCUGGUGCUGAAGAAGAAAAUGCACCACCGGCAAGGCGAGUUCACCGCCGGUGACUCGUUCUGGUUCUUCCCGGCCAUCGAUCCGGAUGAAAGGGCUAUGGUUGCAUCGCAGGCCUAG
rnacentral:rRNA from 1 species